AAUAGCAGUCAUAUCACCCUGCAGCGCAAGACUGGUUGCCCAUUGAAGCUAAGCAGGGUUGAGCCUGGUCAGUACCUGGAUGGGAGACCUCCUGGGAAAACUAGGUUGCUGCUGGAA
rnacentral:rRNA from 1 species